rnacentral:rRNA from 1 species
GUAGGGAAUAUUGCGCAAUGGACGAAAGUCUGACGCAGCGACGCCACGUGAGUGAUGAAGGCCUUAGGGUCGUAAAGCUCUGUUGAAUGGGAAGAAAAAAAUGACGGUACCAUUCGAGGAAGGACCGGCUAACUUCGUGCCAGCAGCCGCGGUAAUACGAGGGGUCCUAGCGAUGUUCGGAAUCAUUGGGCGUAAAGGGUGUGUAGGUGGCCAUGUAAGUAAGGUGUGAAAGCCCCGGGCUCAACCCGGGAAGUGCACUUGAUACUGCGUGGCUUGAGUACCGAAGAGGGUAGUGGAAUUCCAGGUGUAGUGGUGAAAUACGUAGAUAUCUGGAGGAACACCGGUGGCGAAGGCGGCUACCUGGUCGAGUACUGACACUGAGACACGAAAGCAUGGGGAUCAAACAGGAUUAGAAACCCCAGUAGUCC